rnacentral:tRNA from 1 species
GCGGGACUGGCGAAAUUGGUAGACGCACCAGAUUUAGGUUCUGGCGCCGAGAGGUGUGUGGGUUCGAGUCCCUCGUCCCGCACCA